rnacentral:lncRNA from 1 species
AUGUAUGCAAAAUCUGAUCUGAAACUCGCAAAGGUUAUGGAACAGGGCAGGAAAAAAGCCUCAACUCUUCAGACCUCCAAGCGUGUGCGCUCGGAGCCGGACAGCGGAGGGCGCUCGCGCCUCGCCCAAGCCGCGCUGACCCGCAGGCCGGCUUCCGCCGACUCAGUGGCCCACGCCUCAAAUGUGCUAAGGACGGACCACCUGUGGCACAGGCACCAAACGCCUUCUGUUUAAAAGGGGAAGUUUACACAUGAGCAAAAAAAAAAAAGAAAAAAAUCCUCCUGGAAAAGCUCUGCCCGGGGGGCUGAAGCCAGCGUCUGCCUGCGCUGAGCCUACAGUCAACGAUCAAACGGCGGUCUGGAGAGGGCACUCAGCAAAGAGGACCAGGAAUGCUGAAGAAUUAAGACCAAGAGCCACGGCACCUGCAGGGUUAAUUAAACAGUUCAAGAUGUAACAGCCGCACAAAAGAAAACGGGUCUCUCUCCCUCUUGGAGAACUAUAAACACUUGUGCUGAACUAGCCGGGCAUCUGAUAAGCCCAGCAGCACAGGGCAAACCUGUAGGUCCCCAGUCCACUCCCAGAGCCAGUGUUAACACUUAACAGAACACUGGUGAGCCCUGUUGCCAAGGUCAACAGCACAGAUGCACUAAUUGUAUUAUGAGCUUGACAUCUAGUGGCCACCCCUGGCAGGGCAAAGCAGGCAGAGGUUAAACCAGCAGGUCUGCUGCAGAAGUGCUCUGAGCCACCCACCUCUGGUAGAGCACUAGGAAGCUGCAGUCCCCUGCAAGCCCACCUUCUCACAGAUCCCAGGCAGGACCCUGUGCGGCCCCAAGGCUUCCUGGAACGCGGAGGGGGAGGGGUCCCGGAUGGUCAGCAGGACUAAUCUGGGAUGCCUGGAAGAGACAGGCCCACGGAGGGGCGCCUGGAUGCCACCCCAGAGCCUCAGGUCUCCCUGGACCCGAGCUCUUAUCUUUAAUUAACAAACAGGCCAACNNNNNNNNNNNNNNNNNNNNNNNNNNNNNNNNNNNNNNNNNNNNNNNNNNNNNNNNNNNNNNNNNNNNNNNNNNNNNNNNNNNNNNNNNNNNNNNNNNNGGACCCGAGCUCUUAUCUUUAAUUAACAAACAGGCCAACCCUGAUCUCUCACAUAAACAGAGCCCAUUACAUUAUUUUAUUAUUUAAUAUUUCACACUUGCUGUGAUAUGACUUGCCUUACUCAUCAGCUUGGAAAUUAACUGCUUUCGAGAUCACAGAAGUGUUCAAAUUAGAGGGAAAAACCUAAGGAUAGGGCUUAAGUUUAUGUCAAGUAAUAGUGAAAAACUGAAUAUAAUCUAAGGACGGGGCUCCUUUUUAAAAUAUAAAAGUUUAUGUAGAGUAAUAGUGAAACAUGCAAUGUCUACAUAGCUUUUACUUACACCUGGUCUUAUCCGGAGUGUGGGCAGCAUCGCACAUGCUGUGAGGGCAAACCUGGCCCACCAGCGGCAGAAGCAGCUCUCGUUUUCACGAGGCUGCUCUUAGCCUGGCAGCUGGUCAAGAAACCAUGAAGGAAACGAAAACUAACAAAACAACAAAACCUCUUCCUCUUGUAGGUAUUAUUUAACAAUUCCCUUUCUUGAAACUAUUUCUAGCCUUAAAGGAUGGGGCAUGACCUCAUUGGCAGUUAAGCAGGUNAUUAUUUAACAAUUCCCUUUCUUGAAACUAUUUCCAGCCUUAAAGGAUGGGGCAUGACCUCAUUGGCAGUUAAGCAGGUUUUUAUUUCAUGCAAGUAAAAUACUUACAUUUAAGGAUGUUAAAUUCUAACUGGUGUUCAGCACACAGAACGGAAACCUUGGUUGCACCUUUGCUGAAUUCUCCCCAAAAGAAAACGUUCUCAGAGCUAUCUUGGGGUGAAUGGCAAAGCCUCUUAGAGACUGUAGUUGAAAAUGAAAUCUGACCCACUUUUGCCAUCAUCUUGUAUACAAAAAAUAAUCAGCUUGCUAAGUAAUUCCUGCUGUUGGUCCAUACCUUCUUCCUUUUCUGGAUCUAAACAGACCUAAAAAUAUUGGAUUAUGCAUAGAUUGCGGAAGUUUAAAUGUGCCUUAAAAAAAUCCCUAACUCUUACAUAAUCAGCUCUUUCUCUGUACGGUGCGAAUUAAUUGGCAGACUUUUUAUUGGUCGCCAAAUUAUGCAUUUUUAAAUAGAUUAGGAUUUUAACUGCCAUUUUAAAAAUAAAUGUUUGCAAAUUCUUCUUUUCCUUUCCCCUCCUGCUUAACUUACUCCUUACCUUUCAUGUUUCAGAGAAAACAGUCUGCCUACGGAUGUUAGAAAGUGGCUUCUGUAUUGUUUCCUUUUGCAAUGCUGAAUUGUAAGUGUGUGAGUGAGUGCCCUGAGCGCUGAAGGCAAAUCAUGCACAGACAGAUAAAAGAGAAAAGAUCUCAGCACCCAGGGCUGGGGCCUUCUUCCCCUUAAUUUAAACACAGUCGAUGAAUACCACUGGUAAAGUCUUAAAUCACAGGAUCACCACAUUUUAAAGGAUUUUAAAGAUAGCCAUGUAACUGUGAGUUGGCAGAAAAUAAAAACAAACAAGAUACAGGAUGGCAAACUGCUUUAAAUUAUAAUAUUCUUUUGUUCUUCCUUAUAUACAUAUUUUCCUUCUAACGACAAUAAAAUAUAUCCCUCCUCAUUUGUAUUUUAUCCAAUGAAGGAUAGCAAUAAUACACCUUUUAAAGCUCUUAGUAGGAGUGUAAGUGCUGUUCCGUCAUUAGAAGUUUUAAUUAAUUUUUCUUAGAACAAAAACAUUCAGCUGGCUCAGAGGACUUCAAUAUUGGUGGCAUACAUUUAAUUAACUGAAUCCUAAAACUGCAUCCCAUUUACUUCUAAAUUUUCAGAAACAGGAAGGGAACACUUUGCAAUUUUAAAAGAUAGUACCUAUUGGGAAUGUAAGUCGAGUCCCAGCCAUCCUUAAAACACGUCUUUAACAACAGAAUAACUUUAGAACUCUAUGUAAAUCUUUAUUGCUUUUUCCCAUUCUACAUACGUCAUCAUAGUUCACUUUUGCAAUAAGGUCUAGAAAGCACUAAGGCAUUUUUGGAUAGCUGUCUUUUCACUGCUUGCCUAAAAACUAAAGCCUGAAAAAUAAGUCACAUUUCUCUUUUAAAAGAAAUAAAGCCUUUUAUUGUAAAUUAAUGUGACUGUGCACCUCUGCCCCGCCCAUACCAUACUAAAAAUUUUGCACAGAAUAUUUGUGUUUCAUGUCAUUAUCAAGAACUUUCAAUUUUAUUGCAGGCAUUUACUGGUUUAAUUAACAUGUAACACCCAAAGUGAUACAAAGGAAUUAUUUACUUCCUUUCUAAAACAAUGUAAACUUAGUUCACUUAUAACUUGAUGCAUAGUUUGUUUAUUUCCACUGCUUUUAACAAAAUAUAAUUCUGAGAAUAUCUGAAUUCACGGGGGAGUGAUUUAAUUUUCACAACCAUUUAUCUUUAAAAAAAUAUUUUACUUAAUUCUCCUCCUAAUGGCGAUCAGUACAACAGAGUAAUACAUACAUGAACAUUCCUUAAGUGAACAGAGAACAGAGUAUCUUUUAUGCUCCAUGAACAAUCAGCUUCAGAAUAAUUAAAUCAGAAAGAACUAUUUUUUAAACAGUUUGCCGGAACAAUCAGGGGAACACACUCCUUGACUGAGACUCAGCCCCAGACAGGCUAUUUUUGGCCUGUUGCAAAGUAUGAUCAGGAACUGUGGCAAUAUCUUGAUUACAACUCUGAAUGAUUGUGAAAAACAUAGCCUAGACAAAAACUUUAAUCCCAUGGUGGGUUAAAAAAAAAAAAAUUCCUGAAUAUGUUUCACCCUGAAAUAAAUUCAGUAACAACAAGAGGAAUUCAAAAGAGAACUUGUGAAUAAUUUACUCCAUCUUAGGUUUUCAAAUAAGGGCUCUGGACCCCUCCACAUGCUACACUAGGAGGUUCACCAUGCUCGCAUUUCUGAAGUGAAAUUAAAAAUGAAUAGCAGUGCCUCGGCUUGUUAAUUGUUAAAUACAAGGGGUUUUACUCUAUUAAUUAAAAUAUGCUUUAAUAAAGAGACAUUGCACAUUUUGAUAACGACCCUACAAAGCUGAGAAGUAUUUACAUUGUUGCAUUUUGGGGCGGCUGUGAAAGCCGAUUUUAAGCUAUUCAGGAGCCACAAUAAUAAAGCUUUAAAAUUCCUCACUGGGAUGCAAUGUAGUUCUUUUGAAGGAAAGACUGUCUUUCUCAUUCGGCAGAAAUAAAUCCAUUCAUUUGAUCAUGUAGUCAUUGAGGGCAAUAGAAAACAAACCAAGUGUGAGAAAUUCUAUGUGAUGAAGUAAACAAAACAAAAAAAAAUCCAUUUCCAUGACAAAAAGAUUCUUUGUCCUUAAUCUACCCACCAUAUGCAAGCGUUUCUUUUUAGCAUAUCUCCCGUUCUAAUCUUGGGUGACCAGGCGACACAGAUAAGAACCUCUUACCUCCGCUGCGACAAAAAAGACCCUCACGAGUUCACGAAUUUUAUUUAAUUCCUGAAUUUCCAGCCGCGUAAGAAGCCUUUGCUCCCUUCUCCAUUCCGAUGUGGACCAAUACCUGCUUUGGCAAACUUUACGGCACCGCUCGCUAAACUCCUCAACUCCUUUUAUUUUCUGCAGCCUAGCUCCCAAAGCAAAGAUGCGUAUCUGCUCUAAACCACUUAUAAUAGGUUAAUCCAAAAAGUUGGCCGGCCUGUUUCGUAAGGAUCACACUACUCGGUGCCCGGACUCCGGGCAAGUGCAGGGUCGCCCCGCGUCCCGCGAUCGCCCCGCGGCCGCCCCUCCCGCACCCUGGGGACCCGAGGGCGGCGCGAGGCCCGAGGCUUCACUUUCCCGGGCUGGGGCGCGCCAGGCCAGCCCGCUCUUCGCCCAGAGCUAACUUUCGCGGCUCCUACCUUCCCUCCUGGAUGGGCAGGAAGUCCCUACCCCCAAGCCGACUGCACAAGUGGCCGCGGUGCCUCCAACAGCAGGAAAAGGCCCAGAAAACCGAGGCGACAGAAGCGUGCCGGGUCCUACCGCGUGCACGACCACCCCCCGCGCCGCGGGGCAGCUCACCCGGGGUUAAUUCCCAAGGCGGCCAUUAGGAAAGGCC